GCGCUCUUGGUCUAGCGGUAUGAUUCUCGCUUAGGGUGCGAGAGGUCCCAGGUUCGAUCCCUGGAGAGCGCC